rnacentral:rRNA from 1 species
GAUGAACGCUGGCGGCGUGCCUAAUACAUGCAAGUCGAGCGAACAGAUAAGGAGCUUGCUCCUUUGACGUUAGCGGCGGACGGGUGAGUAACACGUGGGUAACCUACCUAUAAGACUGGGAUAACUCCGGGAAACCGGGGCUAAUGCCGGAUAACAUUUAGAACCGCAUGGUUCUAUAGUGAAAGAUGGUUUUGCUAUCACUUAUAGAUGGACCCGCGCCGUAUUAGCUAGUUGGUAAGGUAACGGCUUACCAAGGCAACGAUACGUAGCCGACCUGAGAGGGUGAUCGGCCACACUGGAACUGAGACACGGUCCAGACUCCUACGGGAGGCAGCAGUAGGGAAUCUUCCGCAAAGGGCGAAAGCCUGACGGAGCAACGCCGCGUGAGUGAUGAAGGUCUUCGGAUCGUAAAACUCUGUUAUUAGGGAAGAACAAAUGUGUAAGUAACUGUGCACGUCUUGACGGUACCUAAUCAGAAAGCCACGGCUAACUACGUG